AUUGAACGCUGGCGGCAGGCCUAACACAUGCAAGUCGAACGGUAACAGGAAACAGCUUGCUGUUUCGCUGACGAGUGGCGGACGGGUGAGUAAUGUCUGGGAAACUGCCUGAUGGAGGGGGAUAACUACUGGAAACGGUAGCUACUACCGCAUAACGUCGCAAGCCCAAAGAGGGGGACCCUCGGGCCUCUUGCCAUCGGGUGCUCCCAGGUGGGAUGAGCUUGUUGGUGGGGUAACGGCUCACCAAGGCGACGAUCCCUAGCUGGUCUGAGAGGAUGACCGGCCACACUGGAACUGAGACACGGUCCAGACUCCUACGGGAGGCAGCAGUGGGGAAUAUUGCACAAUGGGCGCAAGCCUGAUGCAGCCAUGCCGCGUGUAUGAAGAAGGCCUUCGGGUUGUAAAGUACUUUCAGCGGGGAGGAAGGGAGUAAAGUUAAUACCUUUGCUCAUUGACGUUACCCGCAGAAGAAGCACCGGCUAACUCCGUG
rnacentral:rRNA from 1 species